rnacentral:lncRNA from 1 species
UAUAUAUAUAUAUAUAUAAAGUGUUUUUCGAAAGCACUUGAGCAGCUAACGGUCACUGUGAUUUUGCCAAGUAGCUAAGACAUGUUCCUGAAUCAACAUCUUUGAUGAUGCUGGAUCAACAUUAUUGCCCAAAAAUAUAUAUUUAAACCCAAUCCCUACCCCUAAACCUAACCCUGCCCAUAAUCUGUUAAAAUCUGUGGGAAAUUAUAGCUGAUUAACAAGAGUAUAGAAGCACUAACCCUGACGGUAAUCAUAAAACUGAUAUUUCCUUAAAAGUUAUAUCCCAUUCUGAUUGGUUGAUUGGAAUGUUGUUCCAGGAACAUGUUGUAGCUACUUGGCACAGCAACUUUGCUUAUUAGUCUACCCUGACUCAUUUAUAGCCUCAUCUCACCUUUGUGUUUACUAACGUUUGAAAACUCUCUUGAAACAAAUAGUAAAAGAACAGAUGUUCUUAAGACCCCCGUCAACCUUUUGUUUUUACUUCCGACCUUUGGAGCGAAGAGUGGGCAAAACCGACCACGCGCACACACAAACACACUAUUCUCACUGUCAUUUACAUAGUUUUGUUGACGGCAGUUCAGCAGCGAAAAAGGACUGGCUGGAUUCUCCGAGACACUUCAGAGGGAAACCAUUUAAACUGAGAGGCGCGCGACCGUCAGCUUGUCUCGCGCAGAACACUUUCAGCACUGCACGCUUUCUUCCAGUGUGCGUCACAUCGUUGCGUCUCUGUCAGCCGCGGAUGAAUUAAAGGUCGACCCGAGUCUCCAAAGAAGAUUCAAGAACAAGGAUCAUAUUUUAACCAUAAUGCCAAAAAUGGUUUCAUCUGGGGAUUCAAAAGACGUGUCAAAGUCAUCACAGAGCAAUGGACAUCACACAUCACACAUAUUUCAUUGUUUUACGACCCUCGUAUGUUUCAUGUUGUCUGCGUCUUCGGUGGCAGUUUGUCUGUUUAUGAACGUCAAAACAUCUCAUCUUGAGCGUAAAAUGGAGAUUCUGGAGAUGGAGCGACUGUCUGUGAUGGAACCUGUGCACGCGACCCUGGAUGCGAACGCGACCCUUCGGGAUGCGAUAGAGAAACUUGUGCAAGAGAGACUCAAAGAGGGGGUGUCGAAAAUUCGCACAGCUCGAGAAGCAGCGCAAGAGUGCUCGUGUCCUCCAGGAAACAUUUGGAGACAACAGAUUGGAGAGCCUCAGUUGGAGUUCCGGCUUUAUGUCGGUGUUGAUUGUGUGUGUGUGUGUGUGUGUGUGUGUGUGUAUGCUAUCCUGCAUGUGUCUGUCCAGGAUAGACAGCAGUCACAGCCCAAAUGUUUUCUUUGUUAA